CAAAUCUUGUCGGAGUGCCUAGCGUGCUUGUGUUUCGUUUUUACGGAACCUAUGAGCGCACAGGCUGAGACCGUUAAUUCGGGAUCCGCGGAACCUGAUCGGGUUAAUACCUGCGAAGGGAACAAGAGUAAUGCACCU
rfam:Erwinia carotovora subsp. atroseptica SCRI1043, complete genome